rnacentral:tRNA from 1 species
GCUGGGAUGGUGACCAUCGGGCUCAUAACCCGAAGGUCGCAGGUUCAAAUCCUGCCCCCGCCC